AGCGUUAUCCGGAAUCAUUGGGUUUAAAGGGUCCGCAGGCGGUCAAUUAAGUCAGAGGUGAAAUCCCAUAGCUUAACUAUGGAACUGCCUUUGAUACUGGUUGACUUGAGUCAUAUGGAAGUAGAUAGAAUGUGUAGUGUAGCGGUGAAAUGCAUAGAUAUUACACAGAAUACCGAUUGCGAAGGCAGUCUACUACGUAUGUACUGACGCUCAUGGACGAAAGCGUGGGGAGCGAACAGGAUUAGAUACCCUGGUAGUCCACGCCGUAAACGAUGGACACUAGUUGUUGGGCAUUAGCUCAGUGACUAAGCGAAAGUGAUAAGUGUCCCACCUGGGGAGUACGAUCGCAAGAUUGAAACUCAAAGGAAUUGACGGGGGCCCGCACAAGCGGUGGAGCAUGUGGUUUAAUUCGAUGAUACGCGAGGAACCUUACCAGGGCUUAAAUGUAGUCUGACAGCUUUAGAGAUAGAGUUUUCUUCGGACAGAUUACAAGGUGCUGCAUGGUUGUCGUCAGCUCGUGCCGUGAGGUGUCAGGUUAAGUCCUAUAACGAGCGCAACCCUUGUCGUUAGUUGCCAGCAAGUAAAGUUGGGGACUCUAGCGAGACUGCCGGUGCAAACCGAGAGGAAGGUGGGGAUGACGUCAAAUCAUCACGGCCCUUACGUCCUGGGCCACACACGUGCUACAAUGGUAUGGACAAUGAGCAGCCAUCUGGCAACAGAGAGCAAAUCUAUAAACCAUAUCACAGUUCGGAUCGGAGGCUGCAACUCGCCUACGUGAAG
rnacentral:rRNA from 1 species